UGCCAUCUUGGGUCGCGAGCGUGUUUACGAGCGCGGGCCGCGCUCCUCGCUGGGGCGGUGCGGGCCGUCGCUUCUUCCCCGCGGCCUGGCUGACAGGUCCGUAGGUGUGGGUGAGUGGGCAUGAUGCUAGGGAGCCUGGGGAAAUUCGGGCUGUGCCUCGUGGAGCUGCCGGUUCCUGGAGCCGCGGCUGUAUUUUCACUUUUGCUCGCCAAGGGUCUGUGGAAUUUCUCUGGAAGGACCACGGGGCGUGGCGUGGGCUUCGAGUAAACCGAGAGGACCAAAUCGCCAGGUCCUGGACGAGAGGGAACUCCUGCGUUUGAGCACGCCUGUCAGCCUUCCUCGCCAGUGCUCGCUACCAGUUCUAGUCUUGCAGUCCCUCUUGUCAGCUGCUGUCACUUGGGGGGCGGCGGUGCCGCGGCUCCUGGAGAAGGGACCCGGGACUCGGGUCCUGUCCACCGCGGUGCACCUAGCGGGCUCUGUGCUCCCGAGGGGAGAAUGUCCCUGCGCUUCAUGGAGGUGCUACAGAGAGGGAAGGUUUCAAAAGCUGUCAAACAGCAAUCACAAUGACGUUUCUUCCUGAGCUUUUUGAGCACAUCAAGAAAAUACAAAGACUCCUGACUUGGCGCUCAGCUUCAGCAGUUGCUGGUGACUCUUCUGUAGGAAAGGGACUGUGUUGAUUCUAUGGCGAGUCUAGGAAAAGAUAACUACAGAAUGAAAAGUUAUAAGAAUAAAGCCCUAAAUCCUCAGGAGAUGCGUAGGAGAGAAGAAGAAGGAAUACAGCUUCGUAAACAAAAAAGGGAAGAACAGUUGUUCAAACGAAGAAAUGUCUCUUUGCCCAGAAAUGAUGACUCUAUGCUGGAAAGUCCUAUCCAGGAUCCAGAUAUCAGUUCUACUGUACCUAUCCCAGAGGAAGAUGUUAUUACCAAAGACAUGAUGCAUAUGAUUUUUUCUAAUAAUGCCGAAGAACAGCUAAUGGCAACACAGAAAUUUAGAAAGCUUCUUUCUAAAGAACCUAAUCCACCAAUAGAUCAAGUUAUACAGAAACCGGGAGUUGUUCAGAGAUUCGUGAAAUUUCUUGAAAGAAAUGAAAAUUGUACUUUACAAUUUGAAGCUGCAUGGGCAUUAACUAAUAUAGCGUCUGGAACUUUUCUACAUACAAAAGUAGUAAUUGAAACUGGAGCAGUUCCAAUUUUUAUCAAACUUCUUAAUUCGGAACAUGAAGACGUUCAAGAACAAGCUGUUUGGGCACUUGGUAAUAUUGCUGGCGACAAUGCAGAAUGCAGAGAUUUUGUUUUGAAUUGUGAAAUACUUUCACCUCUUUUAGAAUUAUUAACAAAUUCAAACAGACUUACAACAACCAGAAAUGCUGUAUGGGCCCUUUCAAAUUUAUGUAGAGGCAAAAAUCCUCCUCCAAACUUUAGUAAGGUUUCACCUUGCUUAACUGUCCUGUCACGCUUGUUGUUUAGCAGUGACUCAGAUAUAUUAGCAGAUGUGUGCUGGGCCCUUUCUUAUCUCUCUGAUGGACCCAAUGAUAAAAUCCAAGCUGUGAUUGAUUCUGGAGUCUGUCGAAGAUUGGUGGAACUAUUGAUGUACAAUGAUGAUAAAGUUGUAUCACCUGCGUUAAGAGCAGUUGGUAACAUUGUCACUGGUGAUGAUAUUCAAACACAGGUGAUUUUGAAUUGUUCUGCAUUACCCUGUCUCCUGCGCUUGUUGAGUAACCCAAAGGAGUCAAUUAGAAAAGAAGCCUGCUGGACUAUUUCUAACAUAACUGCUGGAAACAGAGCUCAAAUCCAGGCAAUUAUAGAUGCAAGUAUUUUUCCUGUUUUGAUUGAGAUUCUUCAGAAAGCGGAGUUUCGCACCAGAAAGGAAGCAGCUUGGGCUAUAACUAACGCUACCUCAGGAGGGACUCCAGAUCAAAUAAGGUAUUUGGUAGCCUUAGGCUGUAUUAAACCACUUUGUGACCUUUUGACUGUUAUGGACUCCAAAAUAGUCCAGGUGGCUUUAAAUGGACUGGAAAAUAUUUUACGUCUCGGAGAGCAAGAAUCUAAGCAGAAUGGAGUCAGCAUUAAUCCAUACUGUGCUCUCAUUGAAGAAGCGUAUGGUCUGGAUAAAAUUGAAUUUCUGCAAAGCCAUGAAAAUCAGGAAAUUUAUCAAAAGGCUUUUGAUCUGAUUGAACAUUAUUUUGGUGUAGAAGAAGAUGACCCCAGCAUUGUACCGCAGGUGGAUGAAAGCCAACAACAAUAUGUAUUUCAGCAGCAAGAAGGACCAGUGGAAGGCUUUCAGCUUUAGUUUGGUACCAGAGAUCGAACUCACGACUGCCUGCUUGCAAGGCAGGCGCUUAAGCUGCUGAGCUAAAUCCCCAGCCCCGAAAUGAUAACUUUCAUACAACAAAGUUCUCCUUGUGAAGAUUUUAACCGGGUUAAAACUGCCUGGUUUUUGUGAGUGGAAGGAAGUGUUUUUUCUCUUUUGGCCACAGAGUUAAUGUAUUAAUUCAAAUUUCCUUGAAUAAGAUUGUUUCAGGUAAAACAAAUUUGUUCUUAUGCUAAGCUUCAAACAAAUCCGUAACAGUUCUUAAAACUCUGUAAGUCUAUCUCUAUCCCUCUUUUCUUAUUUCAUUGCUGGAGAUGGAUCCGCAGAGGCGCUGCCUGUGUCCUAAGGAAGGUCUUACCUUUUUGGCUGAUGCUAUCACCACAAAGCAGGCACUGAUUGUGAGUCCAAUCAUUAUAUAGCAGACUUUCACCCGGGCUUUGUUCCUUGCAGCAUCUAUCAUUUCAGGCCUAAACCAAGAUAGGAUUUUGUUACAUCAAAGUAAUACAGUUUGCUGACAGGAAUUAAGUCACAUAAAUGAUUUGUUAUGUGUAGAUUGCAAAAAUUUUCCAGAACAAACAAACUUUCCAGAACAAACUUUCAAGUCUUACCCAUUUCAAAUUAACAGAUUUAGCCAUUAUGAAACUACAGUAUAGAAUAUUUAGUUUCUAACUAUACUAGAGAUUGUGAGCUUUUUAAAAAUUAUUUACUGAUUAAGGUGAGAGUUAAAGCCUAUGUAUGUCUGUGAGUCAUAUUAAUUUAACCUCUGCUAUGUUCAAUACAUUUCCUUUUUUUUGAGACAGGUUGUCACUAUGUAGCUCAGGCUACCAUCGAAUUUAUGGUGAUCCUUUGUUUUCAAUUUUUAAUGGAAAUUUUUUUGUACCAGGAAUCAAACUCAGGACCUUGUCCUUGCCAGGAAGGUACUGUGCCACUAAGCUGUAUCACCAGCCCACUGAACAGGAUAUUUUUAAAAACUCAUCGUCAAUACUUUUUCCCCACUGACCUUGUAGUCUCUUCUUGCUCUCCCCACUGCUGUUUCCAAAAUUGAUUAUUAUACAUUUUAUGGGAAUGACUGUUAGACAAAGAAUGUUUUCUUCAUGGCUGUUGCAGGAACUUUAAAAGAAAUGAUAAAAAUCACAGCAAUUUCUUGAAGAAAAUGACAAAAAUACACUUUCAUUUUUUGUUAUUCUAAUACUUAAGUCUUAUUUUUAAUAAUGUUAGAAGUUGUCCAAGAUUUUAGCAAUGUUACUUAAAAAGUAGUAUUUCAAAAGUAAUCAUGCUUGUGAAUUUAUUUAUUUAUUUAUUUUGUCUUUUUCCUUUUUAUCGGUACCGGGGACCGAUCUCACAACUGCCUGCUUUCAAGGCAGGCGCUUAUGCCGCUGAGCUAAAUCCCCAGCCCCGCUUGUGAAGUUUUAAUAUUGAAAUAAACUUCAACAAUUUGCAAUGAUAUAAGUGGCAGUUUACAAAUAUGCAUUAAGCAUUUUUCUUGAGAAUAUAUUCAGUAACACUAUUUUCUAUUUAAUGUUGGUUUAUUGUUACAUUUGUUUCAAUUUCUAGAAAAAUACGUUAUAAUUUUUCUUAAAAAUGAAAACCUUUUCUCAACUUUUUCACUAGUACAAAGACCACCAAAACUAAUAAAGAACCAACUUUCCUUAGAUUUUAGGCAGAAUAGUAAUGUUUUAAAAGGGUGAUUAUGAGCAGUUCCAGUUAGGGUCUACACAGACAUUAUUAGAUUACAUUUGUUGGUACCUUUUAUUCCAGAGGGAACCUAAAAGAUCUGAUCUUUUAUAUUUACCCAUCUGGCUUUGAUAUGUUAUACUAAAUUAAUGUAACACUGAAAAAAUGAGACACAGUACAGUUACUAUUAAAGAGUUAAUGUAGUUAUAAAAAUUAAAGGUAUUUUUCAAUUAUAUGUCAUUAAGAACACAAAAAGUGAAAACUUUACAUUGCAAGUCUAAUAGUUUAACAGGAACAUCUCUCCUGAAUAACAAUGCUUUAAAAAAGAUUGCAGAAAAUAAUCAAAUGAAAAACAUUCAAAUACUUUUGUUCCUAGCUCAAAACUACAAUGGAUUUUUAGGCACUUAUAACGAUUGAUAGUAUCAACUUGAGAAGUUUCAUUAAGAGAGGCUUGACUAAACCAGCUCAGCAAUUUCACAUCCUCGGGUGAGGAAGACCCAUCCAAGGGCAGCUCAUCACCUGGAUGGUAUAAAGGGGAAAUGAGGAAGGGUGGAUCUGCUUCUGCUGUUUGGAGAAGCUCCAGACUUGUUUCCAUCUUGGACAUUAUCUCCUGGUUUCCACUGCAGACUCCUGGCUUGCGGUGUGAAUCCCUCCACCUUCCAUUGCAGACCUAUUUGGCCUUCUAAUAUGGACUUGCCCAGGACACUGCAGUGAGAUCCAGAUCUUGGACUGAACCCUUUGGCCUUCAGUGUGAGAACAUCUUCUGGAUGCUUCCUCAUCCAACUGUGCUACAUUACUCUGGAGGUGAUUAUCUUAGAGGUGAAGUUGCUGGUUUGAUUUUGGUCACUCGUCAAACUUCUGCCUGGGUAGGUUUAUGACUAUGAGGAGGCCAACUAUGUCAGUGACCCAGCUCUGGUUCCCAGGCCCGACACUGCACUGGCCCACUGUGGCUGCACCACAGAAGAAGAGGCUGCCUGAGUGAGGAUUCUUUCCAGACACCGCCGGCAGGCAGCAAGCCCUUUUCUUUUGGAGUUGAUUGACACAGCCAGAGUGCAGGCGACGCCCCCGCGUCCCUCUCCAGGGCUCUCUGCGGACUGCAACUGGGCAACGGUGGUGGUGCCCAAGAAGUCUAUCUUUUCUCGCCCAACUUCCUCAGUCUCCAUAUACGCUUAGCAGCCCACUGUCCAGUCGAGAAGGUCAGUGAACCACCCCGGGGAGGAACGGGUGACGAAUGCCACAUGCUGAGGGACUUAUCGCGAAGAACCAAACAUCACUAUGGCCUCCCACACCUGGGCGCGGCACGGACCCCACACCUGCAGGCCACGCACACACCCCCGCUCCCCGUCCCACUCACGGGACCCACGCCGGGAUCUCCUCCAUGGACUUGAACCGCCGGGUCCACAGCAGGAUUCGCUUGUCGAACUGCGAGGGUUUGAGCUGCGCGGGGACCCUGUGCCCGUCUCCUGCAGGGACAGCAACCGACCCAGGUGAGGGCACUGGGACUGAGUCCCCGACCCCACCCUCAGGCCGCCCCUCCGCCCUCACCGUGGUCUCCAGGCGCUGUGCCGCUGCAGUAACCGGGGGCACCUCGGGGCCGUGGGGCGCUGCGGGUCACGCUCCGCAAGCCCAGGCUCAGCACUCGCGCGCCGGCUGGGAGCAUGGUGCGCUUUACCAGGCAACUGGGUCGGGCGGGCGCAGUAGCGCCCCUCCCCUAGGUUCCCUGCCCUGGUCCCCUCCCCUCCUGUUCCCUCCCCUCCCCUCCCCUCUCCAGGGCUAGCAGCAGUCUGUCUUCUCUUAGAAGAGACGCCCAGGCCACGCGGCGCGGCGACCCCAUGUAGCUGCCAAGCAAAAGCGAGAGCUCCAGGCCGACUUUCACCUCCAGGUGGCUGAGUCUGAAACACGUUUUCUGGGCCAUAGAACCUCAGCUCCUACAACUCCUUUCUUCUACCUUUGCACUUCUUAGCCCACAGUUUGUCCAGACUCCCUUCAAAUGUGCCUUUCUUCUGUCCCCUCCCACCAGUUUUAAGAGCUGAACAGAAAAAGACUCAGACUGGAGGUUGGCGAGGAGAAGUCCUGCUGCAGCAGCCAGGAGAAGGUGUACAGCUCAGUGAGCCCUGACUCAGCCGGGCUCCUUACAAGGCUCCGUGCGCUUCAUGGUUGUUUCUGGAUUUCUAGGUAUUUUCUUAGAAGCAGCCUCAGGCUCCUGGAAGCAAGAACUUCUCUUAACACCAACCCCGUCCCCUUCAGUGUGUGAAGACUGCGGAAAAACUAUGCCGUGAAGAAUUGUGCACUUUCUGGGAACUGAUUUUUAAAAAUUCUUUAUAUGUUUUAGACAGAAGUCCUUUGUCUGAGGGACAGACAGCUCACUAAGAUUUUUUUAUCCCAGUUUGUGGGUUUUCUUUUCUCUAUGCUGGAGAUUUCUUUUGACAUGCAGAAACUUUUUAAUAAGAUGUGAUCCCAGUUAUUGAUUCUGGGAAGUAUUUCCCAUGUGGUUUGAGUCCUGUUCAUGAAUUCUCUACCUACCCCUAUGUCUUCAAGAUGUUUACCUACUUUGUCUUCCAAUAGAUUUUAAUAUUUAAUAUCUGUUUUAAUAUUCAGAUCUUUGAUCCAUUUAGAUUUUAGUUCAGUAUAUGGUGAUAGGUAUGGGUCUAGUUUUAAUUUUCGGCAUAUGGAGAGCCAGUUUUUCCAGCACCAUUUAUUAAAGAGACUGUCGUUUUUCCAGUGAACACAAUUGGCCCCUUCAUCAAAAAUUCAGAUCCUUGAAAUUCAAGGACCCAGUCCAAAAGUGGGCAUCUGAGAUGAAUACACAGUUCUCAGCUGAAGAAAUACAAAUGACAAAUAUAUACAUGAAAAAAUGUUCAUCAUCGUUAGUCAUUAGAGAAAUGCAAAUUAAAACCACACUGAGAGUCCAUCUCACUUCUGAAAGAAUGGCCAGGAUCAAGAAAACUACCAACAACAAAUGCUGGAGAGGUUGUGGGGAAAAAGGAACUCUUCUGCACUGUUGGUGGGAGUGUAGACUGGUGCAACCACUGUGGAGGUCAGUCUGGAGAUUCCUCAAGAAUCUGGGAUUGGAAGUCCCAUUCAACCUAGCUAUUCCACUUCUGGGCAUAUUCCCAGAAGAACUGCAAAUAUCAUCCACAGUGAUAAAUGUGCACCCAUGUUUAUAGCAGCACAAUUUGUAAUGGCCAGGUCUUGGAAACAACCUAAGUGUCCAUCAACUGAGGAAUGGAUAAAAAAGAUGUGGUAUUUUUAUACAGUGGAGUGCUACUCAGCUAUAAAGAAUGAUCACAUUGAGAUAUUUACUAAUAAAUGGGCACAACUUGAGACCAUUCUCAUAAGCAAAAUAAAUCAAACUCACAUGUGUAAAUACCGUAUAGUCUCCCUAGUAUAACAAAUAGUAAGAGUACAUAAGAGUUUAGGGUAAUCAUGAUCCCCCAUUACAUUAUUUUAAAGCCUUAUAAUGAUCACAGUUGUAAUAUGUUUGUUCUGGUUUUCUGAUUUUAUUAUCUGUGAUGGUAUGAACACCUAAUUUGAGGAAAACAAGUCAUUACAAUAGCCAGUACUGAUAUAAUAUCAUCUUACUCUGAAGUCUUACCAUGCUCUUGCUCUUCUGUUUCCAUUGGCUCUAUCAUGUUGUACCUUAUUGGAUUGUAUUAUGUGUGAAAGUAUAAACAAAUUUCCUAUGGAAAAUGAGAUAAUAUAGUAGCCAUUGUUUGUUUUCUGUUAUUUGGUUCUGAAAACCCUGUAGCACUCUCAUUCUCUUUGAUGUUUUUAUACUAUUUUGUUAUGUUUGAUACUAUUGUAUAUGAAGUUAUACUCAACUAUUUCAAAGAAAGAGACAUCACAGUAGUUUCUGUUAAUUAUGGGUUGUCUUCUGGUGAAAUAUUGUUUAGCUUACAUUGUUCUGUUCUGAUCUGUUCUGUUAUGUCCUGUUCUGUUUUAAUCUCUUUAAAAUAAAAAAUUGCACACUUAAA